rnacentral:rRNA from 1 species
AUUGAACGCUGGCGGCGGGCUUAACACAUGCAAGUCGAGCGGGGGAGGUUGCUUCGGUAACUGACCUAGCGGCGGACGGGUGAGUAAUGCUUAGGAAUCUGCCUAUUAGUGGGGGACAACAUUCCGAAAGGGAUGCUAAUACCGCAUACGCCCUACGGGGGAAAGCAGGGGAUCUUCGGACCUUGCGCUAAUAGAUGAGCCUAAGUCGGAUUAGCUAGUUGGUGGGGUAAAGGCCUACCAAGGCGACGAUCUGUAGCGGGUCUGAGAGGAUGAUCCGCCACACUGGGACAGAGACACGGCCCAGACUCCUACGGGAGGCAGCAGUGGGGAAUACUGGACAAUGGGCGGAAGCCUGAUCCAGCCAUGCCGCGUGUGUGAAGAAGGCCUUUUGGUUGUAAAGCACUUUAAGCGAGGAGGAGGCUCUUAAGGUUAAUACCCUUGAUGAGUGGACGUUACUCGCAGAAUAAGCACCGGCUAACUCUGUGCCAGCCGCCGCCGUAACAC